rnacentral:rRNA from 1 species
GAUGAACGCUAGCUACAGGCUUAACACAUGCAAGUCGAGGGGCAGCACUAGGUAGCAAUACUGAGGUGGCGACCGGCGCACGGGUGCGUAACGCGUAUCCAACCUUCCCGUUACUCAGGGAUAGCCUUCCGAAAGGGAGAUUAAUACCUGAUGGUGUUCAAAUUCCGCAUGUUAUUUGAACUAAAGAUUUAUCGGUAACGGAUGGGGAUGCGUGACAUUAGGUAGAUGGCGGGGUAACGGCCCACCAUGCCUACGAUGUCUAGGGGUUCUGAGAGGAAGGUCCCCCACACUGGAACUGAGACACGGUCCAGACUCCUACGGGAGGCAGCAGUGAGGAAUAUUGGUCAAUGGCCGGAAGGCUGAACCAGCCAAGUAGCGUGAAGGAUGAAGGUUCUAUGGAUUGUAAACUUCUUUUAUACGGGAAUAAAAACCUCCCAACGUGUGGGAGCUUGUAUGUACCGUAUGAAUAAGCAUCGGCUAACUCCGUG